UUGACCUCAAAUCAGGUAGGACUACCCGCUGAACUUAAGCAUAUCAAUAAGCGGAGGAAAAGAAACUAACAAGGAUUCCCCUAGUAACUGCGAGUGAAGCGGGAAAAGCUCAAAUUUAAAAUCUGAGGGUCUUUAUGGCCUUCCGAGUUGUAAUCUAGAGAAGUGCUAUCCGCGCUGGACCGUGUACAAGUCUCCUGGAACGGAGCGUCAUAGAGGGUGAGAAUCCCGUCUUUGACACGGACUACCAGGGCUUAUGUGAUGCGCUCUCAAAGAGUCGAGUUGUUUGGGAAUGCAGCUCUAAAUGGGUGGUAAAUUCCAUCUAAAGCUAAAUAUUGGCGAGAGACCGAUAGCGAACAAGUACCGUGAGGGAAAGAUGAAAAGAACUUUGGAAAGAGAGUUAAACAGUACGUGAAAUUGUUGAAAGGGAAACGCUUGAAGUCAGUCGCAUUGGCCAGGGAUCAACCUUGCUUUUGCUUGGUGUAUUUUCUGGUUAAUGGGUCAGCAUCAAUUUUGAUCGGUGGAAAAAGAUCAAGGGAAUGUGGCAUCUUCGGAUGUGUUAUAGCCUUUGGUUGUAUAC
rnacentral:rRNA from 1 species